UUACAUCAUUUUUGAAAUAAUUGCUUUUAUUAAAAAAUUUAACAAAUGGAUACUGUUGAGAUAUGGUUCAGUGAUAAGGAAGAUGAUGUGAAAGCUAUUAGAUUAGUAGAGUACGGUAAAGCAAGGAGGAAAUUGCGAGAUUCGUCGAAUCCCUUGUAGUUGGAAGAUGAAGUGUAUGUACAUACAUAUGUGAAUUUCGUGAAUAGUAGUUGCGUUCCGGAUGCUCCACGAUUUGCAGGUUUUACAGGAUUUGCAGGAAAAGCUGUUUUCGCCAUUAAUAAACUUUUUGGAAGGUGGCCACCUGGAACAGCUUCCUGUAAAUACCUGCAAAUCGUGAAGCAUCUAGAACGCAACUAGUUUAAGAAAUUCGUUACGGUUUAGUUAUUUGUAUAAUGAUUUUGGGCUGUUGUGUCGAAACGCGUGACCCGAUUGUAAAAAUACGUGUAGUGAAAGGAGUAAACUUUAAUUUAAAAUAAAGAUUUCAAAUUUGCGAGCACAUUAAUAAAUUAUGGAGUUUUUUGUAAAUCUUGAUGUUGGUUCUGC